GCAGAAGUGGCGGAACGGCAGACGCGCUGGCUUCAGGUGCCAGUGGUAGCAAUAUCGUGUGGGUUCAAAUCCCAUCUUCUGCA
rnacentral:tRNA from 1 species